UGGGGAAUUUUGGACAAUGGGGGCAACCCUGAUCCAGCCAUUCCGCGUGAGUGAAGAAGGCCUUCGGGUUGUAAAGCUCUUUCGGCAGGAACGAAACGGUGGCCCCGAAUACGGGUUACUAAUGACGGUACCUGAAGAAGAAGCACCGGCUAACUACGUGCCAGCAGCCGCGGUAAUACGUAGGGUGCGAGCGUUAAUCGGAAUUACUGGGCGUAAAGCGUGCGCAGGCGGUUAUGUAAGACAGGUGUGAAAUCCCCGGGCUUAACCUGGGAACUGCGCUUGUGACUGCAUAACUCGAGUGUGGCAGAGGGGGGUGGAAUUCCACGUGUAGCAGUGAAAUGCGUAGAGAUGUGGAGGAACACCGAUGGCGAAGGCAGCCCCCUGGGUCAACACUGACGCUCAUGCACGAAAGCGUGGGGAGCAAACAGG
rnacentral:rRNA from 1 species